rnacentral:rRNA from 1 species
UACGUAGGGGGCUAGCGUUGUCCGGAAUCAUUGGGCGUAAAGAGCGUGUAGGCGGCCCGGUAAGUCCGCUGUGAAAGUCCAGGGCUCAACCCUGGGAUGCCGGUGGAUACUGUCGGGCUCGAGUCCGGAAGAGGAGUGUGGAAUUCCUGGUGUAGCGGUGAAAUGCGCAGAUAUCAGGAGGAACACCAAUGGCGAAGGCAGCACUCUGGGACGUGACUGACGCUGAGACGCGAAAGCGUGGGGAGUAAACAGG